GUGCUCUCGGCGGCACGCCUGCUAUCGUUGGAGUGACGCAGACAAGAUUAGCAUGGCCGCUGCAUAAGAAGGUCACGAAAAUUCAUGAGACGUUCCACAUUUCU
ensembl:snRNA U6 U6 spliceosomal RNA